UUUCCCAAUGUUCGAAUUUCCCACAAAACCCUAUCUCUCUGAUUUCGUUUUCCCUCUCUCUCUUUUCAUGCUCAACUCUAAUGCCUUUCUUCGUGCGAUUCAUCAUUUUCCUAAGUUCUCCCCACCCCACCUUCACGCAACUCAUCUUCGUGCAAUUCGCCGAUGAGCAUGGCUUCUCGUCAUCACCGGCCUCUCCAUAAUAAUUGGUGUGUAUAUCCUUCUAUUUCUCUCUCUCAGUAAACCCUAACAUUUAUAUAUAUAUAUAUAUAUUAUAUUUGCCCUAGCCCCUUCACAAACACUGAUCGGUCUCUUCGCUCUCUCUAUCUCUCUCUCACAGUAAUAUGCCUGCUAUUUUUUUCGUUGGAUUUCGCGGGGGUUUGUGUAUGGAUUUGUAGUGAUUGAGCUCUGAGAGUGGAAUCAACAAUAGAACACAUCUGUCGUCAUGAAAGUGAUGGAGCCAUUCUUGUAUUCCUCACUGGUUGGGAUGACAUUUCUAAGCUACUUGAAAAAAAUUAAAGCACACAGUUUACUUAGAGAUCCCAGCAAGUUUUCUUGUUCUUCCUCUUCAUGGUUCAAUGCCUACCAUCAAUCAAUGUGAAAUAUUUGAUCGCCCACAUGCCAAUGUGAGGGGAUGAUGGUUGAAUUUGCAAAGAAUGUGGCUGAUUUUGCUACUGCUAGUGGAAAAAAGCACAUUGUUGUGCUUUCUAGCUUAGAUUUUGGACGAUGGCAAACAAUUGAUAUGUCAAGAUAUUUUUCGAGUAGGAGUUUGCUUCUUGUAGAAUGCAUGUCUGUGAAAAAUGUGACUAACUUAUGUUUUUGUUACUCACGGAGAAUGAUGAGCAAAACUUGUAAGUUUGGUUUAUGUUAUUUUGAAUUAUGAACAACAUUAUGCAUUUAAACAUUAUAUAUGUAUUAUGGAACAUUAUGUAGUGGGGUAAUUUUGUUGAUGUGUAAUUAUGAAUGCAAGAAUAUUUUUAUUA